CGGUGGGCGGGGCUAAACAAAAGGGCGUGGUCAGAAGCGAUCGCGCGCUGUGAUUGGUGGGCAGGAACAGCGCGGUGUUUCCCUGGUCACGUGAGGGCCGGGGGAGUUGGAGCGAUGGCGGCGGCGUCUGGUGGGACCUUGUGAGUGCUGCUGAGCGAACUCGCGACCCGAUCACGCUCCAGCCGGCACCGAGGGAUUCUCGGGGAGCCCAUCAGCCGCGACCGUCUCCGCUGCUCACAAUGUCCCCGGGAGAGAAAGGUAAGGUGCUUUACUUUGGUUUUGGUGCCUGCCAGUUAGACGUGGCGAAAGCUGCGCGUGGUUGGGCUAAAGGAAUUCCUCUUGGUAAAGCCUAGGCGCCGUCCGUAAGACGACUGCGAAAGCGUCGCAGGUUCGGCAUUUGUGGUAUAUUAUAGUUAUAAUAUGGAGAAGGGUUUUGGGCUGCUAUGCUCCCAUACCGGGUACUUCUCCUUUGGGGUGCUUAUUAGCACAUUGGAAACAAGGUAACUUUGGAGAAGAAUUACAUAAGACUAAGAUAAUUUCAGCCAGAUCUCCCACAGAAAAAGACCCCAGCAAUCCCGUCUCAUCUGUUAGUAGCUAUAACCUCUUCUCUCUUUCUUUACUUUGCUUUCCUUAUUUCUCUCUCUCUCUCUCUCCUCUAUCGCAUAACCCUUGUUGUUGGCACUAAAAUAAAGGUACAUUAUUGUUGUUGUGAUUUAAACUGAAAUCCCUUUGUGUCCUUUUGCACUCUGAGAUCAAACAAACCUCUCAUGAGCCUCACUUGCAUUAGCGAAUCAUGACAUCUAAAUUGGCAUCAUGGACAGGAUUUCUGACAGACAGAAGGGGCUGCAGGUUUGUUGUGCAGUCUGUAUUAGGGGAAAGACGUUUUGCUCCAGCCGCACCUAGCCUGACACUCCCAAAAGAGUGAGCGGUGUCUAGAAAGCAAGGGGGGCGAGUCGGAUUUCCCACAAACUGCACACGCCGAGGUAAAAAGCACCCCACACUCACUUGAGGGCUCUGUCUGCAGAAUUUCACAAAAGCUCUCUUAGUGCCAAAGGGCUGGAUUGUUUUUGUUGUUGUGUGUAUGAAUUUUGACUGUUUGGUGUAGCAAAGAGACAACCAGAAUUUUAAACUGAAGGAGUGCCUUCCAAGCAGAUUUGGUCUUUUUACCCAUACAGGGAAGCAAAGUUGUUGUGUGUGUGUGUAUAGUUUAAGUUUAUACCUCCCUGUAGUGGUUUUUCUUUUUGUAAAAAUGACUGAAAACAGCAGUGCAAAAGUUAAAACUGCAUUUUAUGCAUGUUAUGCUCUGUUAGCAAAACACAGUGCCAGACCUUCUCCAGGAGGGAAAAGUUGGUGCUCAGUAAUUGGUUUAAUUUGGAAAAUGUGAUUGAUAGAGUAUGUUCUUUACAACAUGAAACAAAAUUUAAACUGGGAAAAAAUGAAACAAGAGAGGGAAACCCCUCUCAUUAAUCAAAUUUACCCUCAAAAAGAGCUAACUUGGAUAAAAUUGUGGGGAACACUGCUGUCCUAGUUUGAAACCUCUAAUUAAGAAUAUAAUUUUUAAUGAGAUAAUAUAAAUUUUAUAAUAUAAUUAUAUAAUAUAUUAUAUAAUAUAUUAUAAUAGAAUAUAAUAUACUAUUACUACUACAUUAUAAUAGUAUAUAAUUAUAUCAAUGAUAAGGAUCUUGGUCUGCAUAUAACUACUAAAAUAGAAAUAAAAAUAGG